AUCUUUUCUUCACUUUACUUUUAUCCCAGUUGUUCAGAAGGAAUUCCACUGGUGGUUUUGCUGAAGUUCUGCUCUGAAGGAGAUAAUAUCCCUGAUGCGCUUGCACUUGCUGACUACCUGAAUGAAUCUUUACAACUAAUUGCACCUCAAAGUAGCAGUUCUCAAGCAAAAUCUUCACGGUGGAAAAUACCAAGUUCCUGGAAAUUACUUUUUGGCAGCGGACUCCCAUCUUCAUUGUUUUAAAUCAUAUAUUGUUUUCUAUAUAGCCUACUUGUAUACAAUCCAAAUUGUAUUUUGGAAUCUACAGGUCUGUGUCAUCUUACAUGAAACUAGUGAUCAUUUGUCAUGGAUAUUUUAACUUACUUUAGCAAACUUAUUAUAUCAAAACUGGACAACAUUUCACAAAAAAUAAAGCCUUUGCAUAUUUUUGGUUUAAA